UUUUUUUCAGACUGACUGAUCAGAGCACAACUUGCAUUUUUCGCUGCACCUUGGUCCCUUGCGUUUUGGCUUUUUCUACAGAGAGCAGUUCAUUGUUACUAUACCUUUUAUUGUUCUUUUCUUGAAAAAAAAAAAAACUAAAAAAAUUGUUUAUUGCAUUUUACAAGUUAUAUUUACACAGUGUCUCUUUCAUUGUUGCUUGACUUUUUUAUUUAUUUAUUUAUUUUUUAUUUAUUUAUUUAUUUAUUUAUUUAUAUAUAUAUUUUUUUUCCCCUUCCUUCCUGAGACUACUUUGCAGGUUUUGUUCUUUCAGGCUCAACAGCUGUUACGUCGGGACAGAACUUUCAAAGAUGCCAUGGAAAGGAAAGAGAUCUCAGGCUCAAAAAAUGCAUUGGAGAAAGGUGGACCUGGAAGAUGGACAGGUGUUAUGUCAUUGAGCUACCAGGAAAGUAGAGCCUCAGCAGCAGGAAGGACAAAGUAAGGAGUAGUGUGGCAGCUCUAGGGAGGACCCAGACAGUGAGAGCAAGGGUGGCGGUAAGACAGCAAGUUGCAGGAAGAAUUUGGAGACCAUAGCAGUCCUGUCCAAGACCGGAUAUGAGUCUGCAAUAUACCAUCUAAAGCUAAGUUUUUAAUGAUUUUGCUUCAGUCACUGUACUACUGCACAUUAUAACCACAUUUGCAGGAAAAUGUUCAAUCUUGAUCUGAUUUUGAUAUUUACCAGCAACCAGCCAAUUGAAGUCAGAAUUUCUUAGAUCAAGUGUGCUACAAUGCUGAUGGAUGACAAGAGGACGGGACCAAAUGUUUACGGCAUUGACGACAAUACUGGAGAAGCAGAGGAAGAAGCACACUAAAGCACUGAGGAUAUCCAGCCUGUAGGCCGUGCCAGAUCCAGCGGCUAGAUGGCAGAUGCUUCAUUAGACUACUGAAUAUAUCUAAUCAUUGGAUUAUCAAUUAAUUCAUCUUAAUAUAUAUAAAUUAUUUUAUAAUCAUUAAAUAAUUGGUCUCAAUUUCUAGAUAUAUUAAUAUUUCAUAUAUUGGCUUAAAUAAGAAUUUUACUGUAAGGUGUGCCAUGCCAGAGGAGGAUGGGCUCCCCCUGUUGAGUCUGGUUCCUCUCAAGGUUUUUUACCUCCUAACUCUUUGGAGUUUUUUCCUA